ACUACAUGAAGCCGGAAUCGCUAGUAAUCGCGGAUCAGAAUGCCGCGGUGAAUACGUUCCCGGGUCUUGUACACACCGCCCGUCACACCAUGAGAGUCGGGAACACCCAAAGUCCGUAGUCUAACCGCAAGGAGGACGCGGCCUAAGGUGGGUUCGAUAAUUGGGGUGAAGUCGUAACAAGGUAAC
rnacentral:rRNA from 1 species